AUUGAACGCUGGCGGCAGGCCUAACACAUGCAAGUCGAGCGGAUGAAGGGAGCUUGCUCCUGGAUUCAGCGGCGGACGGGAGAGUAAUGCCUAGGAAUCUGCCUGGUAGUGGGGGAUAACGUCCGGAAACGGGCGCUAAUACCGCAUACGUCCUGAGGGAGAAAGUGGGGGAUCUUCGGACCUCACGCUAUCAAGUGAGCCUAGGUCGGAUUAGCUAGUUGGUGGGGUAAAGGCCUACCAAGGCGACGAUCCGUAACUGGUCUGAGAGGAUGAUCAGUCACACUGGAACUGAGACACGGUCCAGACUCCUACGGGAGGCAGCAGUGGGGAAUAUUGGACAAUGGGCGAAAGCCUGAUCCAGCCAUGCCGCGUGUGUGAAGAAGGUCUUCGGAUUGUAAAGCACUUUAAGUUGGGAGGAGGGGCAGUAAGUUAAUACCUUGCUGUUUUGACGUUACCAACAGAAUAAGCACCGGCUAACUUCGUG
rnacentral:rRNA from 1 species